rnacentral:rRNA from 1 species
AUUGAACGCUGGCGGCAUGCCUUACACAUGCAAGUCGAACGGCAGCGGGGGAGAAGCUUGCUUUUCCUGCCGGCGAGUGGCGAACGGGUGAGUAAUACAUCGGAACGUGCCCUGUAGUGGGGGAUAACUAGUCGAAAGAUUAGCUAAUACCGCAUACGACCUGAGGGUGAAAGUGGGGGACCGCAAGGCCUCAUGCUAUAGGAGCGGCCGAUGUCUGAGUAGCUAGUUGGUGGGGUAAAGGCCUACCAAGGCGACGAUCAGUAGCUGGUCUGAGAGGACGAUCAGCCACACUGGGACUGAGACACGGCCCAGACUCCUACGGGAGUCAGCAGUGGGGAAUUUUGGACAAUGGGCGAAAGCCUGAUCCAGCAAUGCCGCGUGUGUGAAGAAGGCCUUCGGGUUGUAAAGCACUUUUGUCCGGAAAGAAAUGGCUCUGGUUAAUACCUGGGGUCGAUGACGGUACCGGAAGAAUAAGGACCGGCUAACUACGUGCCAGCCGCCGCGGUAA